UUUUUGAGUUAAUAACCCAUGCUUAUAUGUUUAUAUCUUUGCAAAUCUGAACCCCCCACCCCACCCCCAAACAAAAAAAGGUUUGCACAUCAUGUCAGAGGUGUAGUGGAAAUUACUAAAAAGGGUAAAAGCAUAACUUUUUUAACAGUUCCCAAAAUGGAUAAAAUGCUUAAGAUGAGAUGUCACCUAGAUUCCCUACAUCAGCUACUUCUGUAUAUUUAGUGAAUUUUAAUAUUUU
rnacentral:sRNA from 1 species